AGCGAGACUAUCAAGUCCUCCGUUCCAUGUGGCUGCCUCUCCUCAUUCUUCCCUCGCUCUCCCCGCUUUUAACAACCCACUCCUUGAAAAGAGAUCACUUUACUACUGCCACUGUCGCUACCUCAAGAAUCACUUUCCCUUGAUAUCAUCAUCGUUUUCGUCUUCACCCAUCAUGGCCCAGAUGGAAAGCUCCGCUGGGGUUUCUACAGCUCCAUCGUUUGAUAAUGGAGGGGAUAAUACCACUGUUUUUCCUUUGUCUUCUUCCACUGUUCUUAAAAUCAACAAAGGAGACAUCUCCAAGUGGUUUGUGGAUGGCUCCUCUGAUGCUAUUGUAACUACCCUUCUCUCUCUCUCUCUCGCGCUGAGUGUGUGUGUCUGUUUCCCUUUUUAUUUCUCUCUGGUUCUUAUUUGUUUUAAUAAUGUCAAAGUUGCUUGAUGUGGGUAUAUUUUUUACUUUAUUAUCUCGACUUGUUAAUGAUGCAAUUUUUGUUUUCUGGGUAAUUGUAGUCCAUGGUUGCUGUGUGUGAAAGUGCUUUUUAGUAGUCUUGACAUAAAUUGACCUUUGCUAAUUAAUCCACCUAUUAUGCUGAUUAAUUUAGGUGCAACGUAAUGAUGAAUUUAUCAUGUAUGAGAUGUGGGAGUUCCAUAGAUUCCUACAAGCUACAACUGAGUCGGUUUGGUGAUGGAUUCGGUUCUCUAAUGGAUUGUUAGAAAUUUUAGAUUUUUAAGUCAUAAGUAUUGUGCAAUGAAGCAAAAAAGUUUUAUGGAAUACGAAGUUGUUCUAUUUUUGCAUUCAGAGCACCUGAUUAUACAAGUAAGUUUGAAAGUUUUCCUGUUGAAAUAAUGGACAGAGGGCAUAUCACAUACAUUAGACGUUAAUCUUUUGCAGGUUAAUCCGGCAAAUGAGAAAAUGCUUGGAGGUGGAGGUGCAGAUCGAGCCAUACAUAGAGCUGCUGGACCAGAACUAUUAGAUGCAUGCUAUAAGGUCCCUGAAGUCCAACCUGGAGUUCGCUGCCCAACAGGAGAAGCAAGAAUUACUCUAGGUUUCAAAUUGCCUGCAUCUCAUGUGAUUCAUACUGUAGGCCCUAUCUAUGAAACCGACAGGAAUGCUGCAUCCUCCCUGAAAAAUGCAUACAGAAACAGCUUCACAGUGGCCAAGGACAACAACAUCAAGUAUAUUGCAUUUCCUGCUAUAUCUUGUGGUGUUUAUGGAUAUCCAUAUGAGGAAGCUGCUUCAGUGGCUAUAUCGACAGUCAAAGAAUUUGCUGAUGACUUAAAAGAGGUGCAUUUUGUUCUGUUCUUGGAUGACAUCUACAAUGUUUGGUUAAAGAAGGCAAAGCAAUUGCUUCUACCUUAGCUUGCACAGCGGCUGGAUUUUCAUAUCCCUUAAGAUAAGAUGCAGAACUGUUAAUUUAUCUCCUAUUGAAGUUUGGAGGAUUGUAUGGGAUUAUGAUAUCAUUGUGUAGUGCACUUGGAUGGACUAGAGAGAUUGUGCCAGCCAUUUUAGUUAAUUAUUAUGAAUGCAUGUGAGAUAGUGGAUUGUUGCAAACUUCCAAUAUUUAUAUAAUAUCGGCUGUCUUCUUUGGUACCCUUGUUAUAUUGUCGUCACAGAUUCAAUUUUGAAACUUAAACUGGUAUUAUGAGGAUUUAUAGAUUGAUCCUGGUAUUUAAAAGGAUUGAAUCAGAAAACAAAUUUGCUUAUCUGCUUGUUGAUUGCUUCACCAUCAGUGUUUUAUUGAUUCUCCUUCUAUUGGUCACAUUGAGGGCUUCUGGUACUUAACUCCAAAUUCUGUCUGCUUGUGUUUAUCAGGUCAAUCUGAUUUUCGUUUUUGGUUUGAAUUUAAUGUUUUUGUUGUGAUCGAGAUUCAUGGGAGAAAGUAAAGUGCCUGAUUUUUAUCUCCAGAAGCUUUCACGAAGAAUGAAAAGAAGGCCUUUUACGAUGAUUUUAGAAAGUUACUUUCAUCAUACAAUAUUUUAACUUGUGAAUAGCAAGAAUUUAUAGCAGAAGGUGAAAAGGCAAAUACAUAUAUGAGUAAACUAAUGCAAAAGACAAGCUGUAUAUUGUUGUUGAUAUUUACAUAUUUCCGUUUCAAAUUGAUGUUUAAUUGUUUUCUUGCAUAUGAUAAUGUAAGGGUUUCUCUAAACAGUGACCUUAAGAGCACUGGUUAACGAGCGGUCUGUUUCUCUCCUCUUUAAAUUUCAUGUUUUCUGUUUUCUGAAUUCCAUUUUUAUUUUUCUUAACACAUUUCCAAGUAAUCAGAAGUAUUAUUUGAACAAUGAGAUUUCACCAUUCCCAGUUAGGCACUCAUAGAUUAUAAUCAGCACCAUCUUCUAAGGACUGCUUUUUCCACAGUCUAUCUUGUUCUCUACCUAAAAAAUAUUCACCAGAUGCCAAAAUCCAAAGCUAAAAUCUUCGUUUCAUCAGGUGCAUGUGUUUGCCUGCGGCUGCUGACUGCUGUGCUUAAGCGGAUUGCUAGUUGUGAUUUGUCUUCAGGCAAAGUUCGCAGGAAAGAAGUUUCCUUACAGUGAAGAACAAGAAAUUUCCGAGUCAUGUAGAAAGACAAAAUCCAAAAGAACCAAAAUAAAAAACCUUUUUCUCUUUUCAUUUGGCUGAUGUGCUUCCUCGAAAACACUGCGAAAAGGACCUUGCCUUCUACUUUGUGGAGGUCUAUUGAGACGGUCAUCUCCUCCUUCGAACAUUGCCGCUCUCUCCAAACCGUUUUCUCUGUUCAGUUGGCUGCUGUGCUUUUUUGAAAACUGUGCAAAAGGAACUUGACUUCUAUACUGUGGAGGUCUAUUAGACGAUCAUCUUCUCCUUUGAACAUUGCCACCAUCUCCACUUAACAUGCGAAUCGACAUCUCUUCUGGGAUUUUUCCAGCGGUUCCUGCAAUUGAAGUUGAGCAUAGCCAUGUUUUCCUUUGGCUUCCUCGAAUCUUCUCAAAGUCAGGAAAGGAGAUAUCAGCAAAUGGUUUGUCGAUGCCACUAUGAUGCUAUUGACUGGCUGAAUCAAACCUUUAAGAUGUAUUAAUAUAAUUAUCAAUAAUUGAGAACCGAUUAAUGAAUAAUGACAAUAUUAAAAGAUGUUA
rnacentral:misc_RNA from 1 species